rnacentral:rRNA from 1 species
CCCAGGUCAGGCGGGGCUACCCGCUGAAUUUAAGCAUAUCAAUAAG